GAUGAACGCUAGCGGCAGGCUUAACACAUGCAAGUCGAGGGGUAGAGGUUGCUUGCAACCUUGAGACCGGCGCACGGGUGCGUAACGCGUAUGCAACCUACCUUUUACAGAGGGAUAGCCCAGAGAAAUUUGGAUUAAUACCUCAUAGUAUAUAGUCUUCGCAUGUUGACUAUAUUAAAGUUCCAACGGUAAAAGAUGGGCAUGCGUCCUAUUAGCUAGAUGGUAAGGUAACGGCUUACCAUGGCAACGAUAGGUAGGGGUCCUGAGAGGGAGAUCCCCCACACUGGUACUGAGACACGGACCAGACUCCUACGGGAGGCAGCAGUGAGGAAUAUUGGACAAUGGGCGCAAGCCUGAUCCAGCCAUGCCGCGUGCAGGAAGAAGCAUCUAUGGUGUGUAAACUGCUUUUGUACGGGAAGAAACACUCCUACGUGUAGGAGCUUGACGGUACCGUAAGAAUAAGGAUCGGCUAACUCCGUGCCAGCCGCCGCGGUAAAAC
rnacentral:rRNA from 1 species